AUUGAACGCUGGCGGCAUGCCUUACACAUGCAAGUCGAACGGCAGCACGGGUGCUUGCACCUGGUGGCGAGUGGCGAACGGGUGAGUAAUACAUCGGAACAUGUCCUGUAGUGGGGGAUAGCCCGGCGAAAGCCGGAUUAAUACCGCAUACGAUCUACGGAUGAAAGCGGGGGACCUUCGGGCCUCGCGCUAUAGGGUUGGCCGAUGGCUGAUUAGCUAGUUGGUGGGGUAAAGGCCUACCAAGGCGACGAUCAGUAGCUGGUCUGAGAGGACGACCAGCCACACUGGCACUGAGACACGGCCCAGACUCCUACGGGAGGCAGCAGUGGGGAAUUUUGGACAAUGGGCGAAAGCCUGAUCCAGCAAUGCCGCGUGUGUGAAGAAGGCCUUCGGGUUGUAAAGCACUUUUGUCCGGAAAGAAAUCCUUGGCCCUAAUACGGUCGGGGGAUGACGGUACCGGAAGAAUAAGCACCGGCUAACUACGUG
rnacentral:rRNA from 1 species